GUGGCGGUACCUACCUGCGAGAGCUGCCGGGGGUUGGGGCAGCCGAAGAGCGCGGAGCUGGAGCUGAAGCUGAUGGCCCCUCUGCGGCUGAGGACGUGCUGUGGCACCGGUCUGUCCAGCGGCAGCACCGGCAGCUGAACUGCAAUCCCACGUUGCCUUGCAAAUAGCCUCCACGACAUGAAAAUAUGAACACGAGAGGGGACACUGGAUCAACUGCUGCCUCUUAAAAGCUUUCUUCAGUUGUUUUUCUCCCGUUUCUUGAAAUAAAAAUGUCACAAGCAUUCACAGUAUGACUUUAUAAUGUACAUGUGCAAUAAUUCAAAAUAUAAUAACCACACCAUAAUUCAAAGUAAAAUAACAUACUCAUCUUUUUUCAGUAAUUAAGGGUGCUGUCCAGCAAGGAAGAAACAUUAAUGAUGGUUGGGUUUAUCAUGAAGAAGGGCAUUUGUGAAACUGGAGAGAUGGAAGAUAACAGAAUCGGUUUCUUAGUUCAUAUGAGAAGAGGAUGAAAUCACACGGAGCACGAAGACUUGAGAGCUAAUGGGCCCGAAUAACUGAAUUUGAUGAAAGAUUGCUUACAUUACUGCUCAUCUUGAACUGGAUGAUCUGUGGGCAAACUACCCAUCCUUGAAUCUGUAGCUAAGGUAAUCAAUUCCCAGAUAAUGGGAGAAUUGACUUUUAUUUUAGAGAAGUCAGAAUGAAUACUAAUACACUGCAAGUCAAUACCAUUUGCAUUACAAGUGACUAGUUUAUUGC